UCCGGUGUAACUCAAUGGCAGAGUGAGCGGCUGUUAACCGCUAAGUUGUAGGUUCGAGUCCUACCACCGGAGCCA
rnacentral:tRNA from 1 species